rnacentral:rRNA from 1 species
GACGAACGCUGGCGGCGUGCUUAACACAUGCAAGUCGAGCGGUAAGGCCCUUUCGGGGGUACACGAGCGGCGAACGGGUGAGUAACACGUGGGUGACCUGCCCUCAGCUCUGGGAUAAGCCCGGGAAACUGGGUCUAAUACCGGAUAUGACUCCAUGACGCAUGUUGUGGGGUGGAAAGCCUUGUGCGGCUGAGGAUGGGCCCGCGGCCUAUCAGCUUGUUGGUGGGGUGAUGGCCACCAAGGCGACGACGGGUAGCCAGCCUGAGAGGCGACCGGCCACACUGGGACUGAGAUACGGCCCAGACUCCUACGGGAGGCAGCAGUGGGGAAUCUUGCGCAAUGGGCGAAAGCCUGACGCAGCGACGCCGCGUGAGGGAUGACGG